CACCUCAUGAACUGAGAAAGGAUUCAAAGUUCUGGGCACUGAUGUUUACGACCCUUGGUCUUGCGUCAUUUGUGGUACACCCAUUCAGAACAUACUUCUUUUCUGUAGCUGGGUCCAAGUUAAUACAACGGAUCAGGUCCAUGUGUUUUGAGAAGGUGGUUCACAUGGAGAUUGGUUGGUUUGAUGAGCCUGAGCACUCAAGUGGUGCAAUUGGUGCCAGGCUCUCAACAGAUGCAGCAACAGUGAGAGCCCUAGUCGGAGAUGCAUUAGCUCAGAUGGUUCAAAACAUUGCAACAGCAGUGGCUGCU
rnacentral:misc_RNA from 1 species